UGGGGAAUAUUGGACAAUGGGGGAAACCCUGAUCCAGCAAUGCCGCGUGUGUGAAGAAGGCCUGCGGGUUGUAAAGCACUUUCGGUGGGGAAGAACAGGUUUCGGGCUAAUAUCCCGGAGCACUGACGGUACCCAAAGAAGAAGCACCGGCUAACUCUGUGCCAGCAGCCGCGGUAAUACAGAGGGUGCGAGCGUUAAUCGGAAUUACUGGGGCGUAAAGCGCACGUAGGUGGCUUCCUAAGUCGGAUGUGAAAUCCCCGGGCUUAACCUGGGAAUGGCAUUCGAUACUGGGAAGCUAGAGUCUGGUAGAGGGUGGUGGAAUUCCAGGUGUAGCGGUGAAAUGCGUAGAUAUCUGGAGGAACAUCAGUGGUGAAGGCGGCCACCUGGACUGAGACUGACACUGAGGUGCGAAAGCGUGGGUAGCAAACAGGAUUAGAUACCCUGGUAGUCCACGCCGUAAACGAU
rnacentral:rRNA from 1 species